CGUGUCGCGCAUAUCUGCAUAUCAAUAAGCGGAGGAAAAGAAACUAACAAGGAUUCCCUUAGUAACGGCGAGUGAAGCGGGAAGAGCUCAAAUUUGAAAUCUUCAAGGUUCUACCUUGACGAAUUGUAGUUUAAAGAAGUGUUUUCUGUUAGAUGAGUAGCAAAAGUUCCUUGGAAUGGGACAUCAUAGAGGGUGAGAAUCCCGUAUUUGGUUAUUCAUUCUAGCUUUGUGAUACACUUUCAAAGAGUCGGAUUGUUUGGGAAUGCAGUCCAAAAUGGGUGGUAAAUUUCAUCUAAAGCUAAAUAUUGGCGAGAGGACCGAUAGCGAACAAGUACCGUGAGGGAAAGAUGAAAAGAACUUUGAAAAGAGAGAUAAACAGUACGUGAAAUUGUCAAAAGGGAAGCGUUUGACACCAGUGUUGUUUUUCCGAAAAUCAAUUACGAAUGGCUUGAUUUUGUGUUGUAUUGACCUUAUCAGCUUUCUGCACUUUUUUCGAGUCUUUCUUAAUGCACUUUUCGGUUAACAAGUCAACAUCAAUUUCUUUUGUUGUAAAAGAGUAUUCGGGAGGUGGCUUUCUUUUCGGAGAAAGUGUUUAUAGCCCUAUACUUCUACAAUCGGAGAGAUUGAGGUCUGCAGCGUAGAUCCUUCGGGGUUAGAUACACUUGUGCUAAGUUGUAGCUUUUCAUAGACAACUUGUUGACUAUGUUUAGUCAUGCGGCUUACUCGCUUAGUGCUAUUUUACCUACGCUUAGGAUGUUGACGAUCAGCUGAGCGCG
rnacentral:rRNA from 1 species